UGUGAAAGAUGAAUGAAAGAUAUCUUUAUCUAGACAGCUAAUACAAAUGACCUGUAUCAUUUACUGUAACAAAGGUAUAAUAACUAUAACAAAGAAUAUAUAGCAAUUGUUUCUAACAAUAAUAAGCAA